rnacentral:rRNA from 1 species
GCAGCAUGCUAUUUUUUCGGAAAUAGUGAUGGCGAGUGGCGGACGGGUGAGUAACACGUAGGUAUCUACCUAGAAGAGGGGGACAACCCGGGGAAACUCGGGCUAAUACCGCAUAAUCUCUACGGAGGAAAGUUGGGGACCUUAGGGCCUGACGCUUUUAGAUGAGCCUGCGGCAGAUUAGCUUGUUGGUGGGGUAAAGGCCUACCAAGGCAACGAUCUGUAGCUGGUCUGAGAGGAUGAUCAGCCACACUGGGACUGAGACACGGCCCAGACUCCUACGGGAGGCAGCAGUACGAUCUAUAGCUGGUCUGAGAGGACGAUCAGCCACACUGGAACUGAGACACGGUCCAGACUCCUACGGGAGGCAGCAGUUUGGGAAUUUUGGACAAUGGGCGAAAGCCUGAUCCAGCAAUACCGCGUGUGUGACGAAGGCCUUCGGGUCGUAAAGCACUUUCAAUUGUGAAGAAAUGCACAUAGUUAAUAGCUAUGUGAGCUGACGUUAACAAUAGAAGAAGCACCGGCUAACUCUGUGCCAGCAGCCGCGGUAAUACAGAGGGUGCAAGCGUUAAUCGGAAUUACUGGGCGUAAAGCGCGCGUAGGUGGACAAAUAAGUCAUGUGUGAAAGCCCUGGGCUCAACCUGGGAACUGCAUGUGAUACUGUUUGUCUAGAGUAUGGUAGAGGAAAGUGGAAUUUCCGGUGUAGCGGUGAAAUGCAUAGAUAUCGGAAGGAACAUCAAUGGCGAAGGCAACUUUCUGGGCCAUUACUGACACUGAGGCGCGAAAGCGUGGGUAGCGAACAGGAUUAGAUACCCUGGUAGUCCACGCCGUAAACGAUGAGAACUAGGCGUAAGGAAUAAUCUUUGUGCCGAAGCUAACGCGUUAAGUUCUCCGCCUGGGGAGUACGGCCGCAAGGCUAAAACUCAAAGGAAUUGAC